UAAGGAAUAUUGGUCAAUGGACGCAAGUCUGAACCAGCCAUGCCGCGUGAAGGAUUAAGGCCCUCUGGGUUGUAAACUUCUUUUAUAGGGGAAGAAAUGUGACGGUUCUCCGUCACUUGACGGUACCCUGGGAAUAAGCACCGGCUAACUCCGUGCCAGCAGCCGCGGUAAUACGGAGGGUGCAAGCGUUGUCCGGAAUUAUUGGGCGUAAAGAGCUCGUAGGCGGUUUGUCGCGUCUGCUGUGAAAACCCGAGGCUCAACCUCGGGCCUGCAGUGGGUACGGGCAAACUAGAGUGCGGUAGGGGAGAUUGGAAUUCCUGGUGUAGCGGUGGAAUGCGCAGAUAUCAGGAGGAACACCGAUGGCGAAGGCAGAUCUCUGGGCCGUAACUGACGCUGAGGAGCGAAAGCAUGGGGAGCGAACA
rnacentral:rRNA from 1 species